rnacentral:lncRNA from 1 species
UCAUAUAAUACUACCAUUUUUCAGCCCAUGACAUGGAAUUGCAGACCAAUGACAUAAACUGGAUUUUUCCUUCCUCUCACAAAUGUAUAUCUAUAUUUACUCUGAUACAGUGCCCAUAUGAAAUGUUUGCUAACAUCAAAUAUUGGGGACAUAUAGCCAUUGAUAUAUUAAAUGAUCCUGUGGAAGCACUCAUUCAAAGUGUAUAUAUAAUAAAAAUAUAAAACAAUGUAUCAUAAUUGGCACCUCAGAAUAUUAUGGAAGAUUGCAACAUACUGUAAUAAAACCUGCAAAGAAGUCCACUUCACUGGGACACUUCCACAGAAGCCGAGACAGCAAGGCAGUACUAUUCCGAAUUACAUCUGAUGAUGUCUGAUGUAAUGUAGGAUGAAAACCGAUGCUUGCAGUUUCUGCUGAAAAAAAUGUGUGAUAAGAUAACUAAUUAAAAGGAUAUAGGAUUAUACAGCGUGAAUUGCUCAAAUAGCAGAAAGCCAAUUUAUCAAUAGCACUGAAUGAACUUUAAUUAAUAGCAGUAAAUAAUGUUGACUAACUUCAGAGGUUGUUUAAAAUCAAACUUGGGAGCUUGCAUUGGAGAAACGUAAGAGUACCAUGAUUUGUCUUGAAACAUCACUAGCGAAUGAAGAGCAG